GGUUGGAGAGAUGGCUCAGUGGUUAAGAGCACUGACUGCUCUUCCAAAGGUCCUGAGUUCAAAUCCCAGCAACCA
rnacentral:tRNA from 1 species